AGAGUUUGAUCCUGGCUCAGAACGAACGUUGGCGGCGUGGAUUAGGCAUGCAAGUCGAGCGGGAUCAAUUUUUUUCAAUCUUUCGGGAAAGAAAUUUAUUGUGAGAGCGGCGAACGGGUGAGUAAUAUAUGGGUAAUUUACCUCUUUGUUUGGGAUAGCCAUCGGAAACGAUGAUUAAUACCGGAUGUGUUCAGAAACUGCAUAGUUUCUUAUAUAAAGGCGGGGAUCUUCGGACCUGUCGCAAAGAGAUAAGCCCAUAUCCUAUCAGCUUGUUGGUGAGGUAAUGGCUCACCAAGGCUUACGGGUAGCUGGUCUGAGAGGAUGGUCAGCCACACUGGGACUGAGACACUGCCCAGACUCCUACGGGAGGCUGCAGUCGAGAAUCAUUGUCAAUGCACGAAAGUGUGAACAUGCGACGCCGCGUGGAGGAUGACGGCCUUAGGGUUGUAAACUCCUGUCAGCAGGAAGGAAUAAUUAAAUAAUUAAUACCUAUUUAAUUUGACAGUACCUGCAGAGGAAGUCACGGCUAACUCUGUGCCAGCAGCCGCGGUAAUACAGAGGUGGCGAACGUUGUUCGGAUUUACUGGGCGUAAAGGGUCCGUAGGCGGUCUGGUGUGUCGGAUGUGAAAGCUCACAGCUCAACUGUGGAAUUGCAUUCGAAACUGCUAGACUAGAGUACUGGAGGGGUGAAGGGAACACUUGGUGUAGCGGUGAAAUGCGUAGAUAUCAAGUGGAACACCGGAGGCGAAGGCGCUUCACUGGACAGAUACUGACGCUCAUGGACGAAAGUUAGGGUAGCGAAAGGGAUUAGAUACCCCUGUAGUCCUAACCGUAAACGGUGUGCACUAGGCGUGGGAGGCUUUACCCCCUUCCGUGUCUGAGCUAACGCAUUAAGUGCACCGCCUGGGGAGUACGGUCGCAAGAUUAAAACUCAAAGGAAUU
rnacentral:rRNA from 1 species